UGACCUCGGAUCAGGUAGGGAUACCCGCUGAACUUAAGCAUAUCAAUAAACGGAGGA
rnacentral:rRNA from 1 species